rnacentral:rRNA from 1 species
GACGAACCGUGCGAACGUUGUUCGGAAUCACUGGGCUUAAAGGGCGCGUAGGCGGGCUCACAAGUCAGGGGUGAAAUCUUUCGGCUCAACCGGAAAAGUGCCUUUGAUACUGGUGGCCUCGAGGGAGGUAGGGGUCUGCGGAACUUCCGGUGGAGCGGUGAAAUGCGUAGAUAUCGGAAGGAACGCCGGUGGCGAAAGCGGCGGACUGGACCUCUUCUGACGCUGAGGCGCGAAAGCCAGGGGAGCAAACGGG